rnacentral:lncRNA from 1 species
UCAAAAAAAAAAAAAAAACUUUUUCUUAUUUAUUUAAAAUGUAAUAGAUAAAAUAGUUAAUUGUUCAUUUUAAACCUAUCGAAUAAUAAAUAUAUUUCUAUAAAAUUUGACUUUUUCCUUAUUCUUAUAAAAAAUCCAGUAAUACUGAUUUGUUACUGUUAAAAAACUAUUUAUUUUUAAUAGCAGAUAAGUAAAAUGUCAAUUUUGUCAUCACAAAUAUGUUCCUCUAAAAGUCAAAAUUGCUAUAAUUGUGUAGAAAUGACCCCUAAAAAAUUUUCAAUAGUCAUCUUUUUUCUCUUUAAAAUCCUAUCUAAUCCAACAUUGUUGCAGCCUCUUCCCUCACUUUUUUCUUCUAAACUUUUUUUUGAGAAAAAAAAUUAUAAAAAAAAUUGAAUAUAGAAGUAACAUGCAUUUGAUAUGGACGAAACAACACACGUCGUAGAUGAAUGGAGAUGGAGAAAUUCUAGUUACGGAUUCGAAACUAGCAUGAAGGAGAGAAAGAAAAAGGAAGAAAAAAAAGAGUUUCUAUUGAUAUUGUUUUGAUUGAUUGAAGAAGGUAUGAUAUAAGAGGGGUAAAAAUGUCAAUUUACCUCAUUGACUAACAAGGAUUAAAUAUUUUACCUAUGAUUAACUAAAUUUUUCUAACGGAUCCUAACAGUAGGGGCAUAUUUGAAAACAUCAGAAUUUUUGUAGGGAUAACAUAAAAAAAGUUGAACUUUGCAGACAUAUAUUUGCAAUUUGCUAUAUUUACAGAAAGCUGUAUGCAAUUAACCUUAGAUAAAAAUGCAACGAACCUAUCUAAACUAUGGACUGUUUUAAUUCGACUACUUAUUCUUUUUUUUAAGAAAAAUUAGUUUUACUGUCCAACCUUUUAGUUUGUUUGUUUGACUCAGUCGGCGAUAUUUUAACUUUAAAUUUUAAAUGCAUCAUUUUUCUUUACAGAUUUAGUUAGUAUAUUUCAUAUAAUUUUCACAGAGUUGAGCUGGAUUACUAUUAAUAGUAUUUGAGUUCUUUUGUUAUCGAUUUUUUAGCCGUUAAAUCUAUUCUUUAAUUAAUUCCACCCUUUAGAUCAUACUAUUCAACCAACCACUCACUCAACCCUAGAGAGACCACUCUCAUCCUAAUUCUAUAAUUUUUAAUUCAAGGGUUAAAAACUCGAUAGCAGAAGAACCCAAAUACUAUUAAUAGUAUUUAUAUCCAAUUCCAAUUUUCACAUAGUGCAAUUUAAAAUGAAAUUGCUGUUAAUUCGCUCAAAUCAAACAAAUUGAAAGGUUUUCUAAUAAAAUUAUUUUUUAAAAGAUCGAAUAGCAGAUUCAAAAUGAUCAAUAGUUCAGAUAAAUUUUGUACAUUUUGUUACACUAUUUAGAAAUUAUUUAAGAACUUUUCUUUUGUUUUUAAAUUAUUAAAC